rnacentral:rRNA from 1 species
CAGUCGCCGCGGUAAUACGUAGGUCCCGAGCGUUGUCCGGAUUUAUUGGGCGUAAAGGGAGCGCAGGCGGUUUAGUAAGUCUGAAGUUAAAGGCAUUGGCUCAACCAAUGUAUGCUUUGGAAACUGUUAGACUUGGGCGCAGAAGGGGAGAGUGGAAUUCCAUGUGUAGCGGUGAAAUGCGUAGAUAUAUGGAGGAACACCGGUGGCGAAAGCGGCUCUCUGGUCUGUCACUGACGCUGAGGCCCGAAAGCGUGGGUAGCGAACAGGAUUAGAUACCCCUGUAGUCCCUGUCUCUUAUACA